rnacentral:rRNA from 1 species
GAUGAACGCUGGCGGCGUGCCUAAUACAUGCAAGUCGAACGAACACGCCAGGAGCUUGCUCCUGUGACUCUAGCGGCGGACGGGUGAGUAACACGUGGGUAACCUGCCUAUAAGAGGGGGAUAACUUCGGGAAACCGGAGCUAAAACCGGAUAAUAUUUCGAACCGCAUGGUUCGAUAGGGAAAGACGGCUCUGGUGUCUCUUGUAGGUUGGUCCGCGGCGCAUUAGCUAGUUGGUAAGGUAACGGCUCACCAAGGCCGUGAUGCGUAGCCGACCUGAGAGGGUGAUCGGCCACACUGGAACUGAGACACGGCCCAGACUCCUACGGGAGGCAGCAGUAGGGAAUCUUCCGCAAUGGGCGCAAGCCUGACGGAGCAACGCCGCGUGAGUGAAGAAGGUCUUCGGAUCGUAAAACUCUGUUAUUAGGGAAGAACAAGUGUGUAAGUAACUGUUAACGCCUUGACGGUACCUAACCAGAAAGCCACGGCUAACUACGUG